rnacentral:tRNA from 1 species
GGGCCGUUAGCUUAGUUGGUAAAGCAAUUGACUCUUAAUCAAAAGAUCGUAGGUUCAAAUCCUACACGGCCUA